GGCUGUCGCGCAGUGGUUAGUGCCGACUGCUUGCGACGCAGAAAGUUCCGGGUUCAAUUCCCGGUGGGGCCA